rnacentral:rRNA from 1 species
AUGGAAAGUGCGAGGAGCUGCCUCAUGGACGACGUGAGCAGCGGCGCGUCCACUGGCAAUAAGGCGUCUGGGGUGCCGGCCGCGCCGGCGACCAAGCCGCUGCGGCGCGUGGGCAGCGGGGCCAGCGCGGUCAUGGACGCGCCGGAGCCCGGCGCCGAGGCGGACUCCGGCCGCGGCGGGCGGCUGCCGUCGUCCAAGUACAAGGGCGUGGUGCCGCAGCCCAACGGGCGCUGGGGCGCGCAGAUCUACGAGCGCCACCAGCGCGUCUGGCUCGGCACGUUCACGGGGGAGGCCGAGGCGGCCCGCGCCUACGACGCGGCGGCGCAGAGGUUCCGGGGCCGCGACGCCGUCACCAACUUCCGCCCGCUCGUCGAGUCCGACGCGGACGACGCCGCCGAGCUCCGCUUCCUCGCCGCCCGCUCCAAGGCCGAGGUCGUCGACAUGCUGCGCAAGCACAUCUACCCCGACGAGCUCGCGCAGCACAAGCGCGCCUUCUUCGCCUCCGCGGCCGCCGCGGCGUCGUCCCCUACGUCAUCGUCGUCACCUCCCUACUCGUGGGCACCUUCAACCGCGGCGGGGCGGCGCGAGCACCUGUUCGACAAGACGGUCACGCCCAGCGACGUGGGGAAGCUGAACCGGCUGGUGAUCCCGAAGCAGCACGCUGAGAAGCACUUCCCUCUCCAGCUCCCUUCGGCCGGCACAGCCGUGUCCGGCGAGUGCAAGGGCGUGCUGCUCAACUUCGACGACGCGGCCGGCAAGGUGUGGAGGUUCCGGUACUCGUACUGGAACAGCAGCCAGAGCUACGUGCUCACAAAGGGGUGGAGCCGCUUCGUCAAGGAAAAGGGCCUGCACGCGGGCGACGCGGUCGGGUUCUACCGCUCCGUCUCCGGCAACAACCAGCUCUUUAUCGACUGCAAGCUCCGGUCCAUGACGACGACGACGACCUUCGUCAACGCGACGGCGGCCACCACGUCGCCGGCACCCGUGAUGAGGACCGUGCGUCUCUUCGGCGUCGACCUUCUCACGGCGCCGGCGCCGAGGCACGCGCCAGAGCACGAGGACUACGGCUUGGCCAAGACAAACAAGAGAUCCGUGUCCGUGGACGCCAGCGUAGCGGCGGCCAUUCCGGCGCACGCGGUCUGGAAGAAGCGGUGCGUAGACUUCUCGCUGACCUAUAGACUUACCACCACCCCACAGUGCCCGCGGUCUGGAAGAAGAGAUGAACUAGUACAAGCAGCUGGGAGUACAUUUGCUCUAUAG